AGUGAACGCUGGCGGCGUGCUUAACACAUGCAAGUCGAACGAGAACGGACUAAAGCUUGCUUUAGUUGUCAGCUAAGUGGCGCACGGGUGAGUAAUGUAUAGUUAACCUGCCCUCGAGAAAGGAAUAACAGUUGGAAACGACUGCUAAUGCCCUAUAUGCCCAUAAUACAUAAGUAUGCUGGGGAAACGCUUUUGUGCUCGAGGAUGGGACUGUAUGGUAUCAGCUAGUUGGUGAGGUAAUGGCUCACCAAGGCAAUGACGCCUAACUGGUUUGAGAGGAUGAUCAGUCACACUGGAACUGAGACACGGUCCAGACUCCUACGGGAGGCAGCAGUGGGGAAUAUUGCACAAUGGAGGAAACUCUGAUGCAGCAACGCCGCGUGGAGGAUGACACUUUUCGGAGCGUAAACUCCUUUUAUAUAGGAAGAUAAUGACGGUACUAUAUGAAUAAGCACCGGCUAACUCCGUGCC
rnacentral:rRNA from 1 species